AUUUACGGAGAGUUUGAUCCUGGCUCAGGACGAACGCUGACGGCGUGCCUAACACAUGCAAGUCGAGGGGUACUUCGGUACCACUGGCGCACGGGUGAGUAACACGUAGGUAAUCUGCCUCUAUCCCUGACAUAAUAUUUGGAAACGAAUACUAAUAGCAGAUGAGGCCGAGAGGUCAAAGGGGUAACCUGGAUAGAGAUGAGCCUGCGUCUGAUUAGCUAGUUGGUAAGGUAAUGGCUUACCAAGGCUACGAUCAGUAGCUGGCCUGAGAGGGUGGCCAGCCACACUGGAACUGAGACACGGUCCAGACUCCUACGGGAGGCAGCAGUGAGGAAUUUUGCGCAAUGGGGGAAACCCUGACGCAGCGACGCCGUGUGCGGGAUGAAGGAGCUUCGCUCUGUAAACCGCUGUCGGGAGGGACUAAAAGCCUGUUUUACAGGCUGGGACCGUACCUCCAAAGGAAGGACCGGCUAACUACGUGCCAGCAGCCGCGGUAAUACGUAGGGUCCAAGCGUUGUCCGGAUUUACUGGGUGUAAAGGGUGCGUAGGCGGACUUGUGCGUCAGAGGUUAAAGACCCCGGCUUAACCGGGGAAGUGCCUUUGAUACGGCAGGUCUUGAGUGUAGAUGAGGAUGAUAGAAUUCCUGGUGUAGCGGUGAAAUGCGUAGAUAUCAGGAGGAAUACCGAAGGCGAAGGCAGUCAUCUAAUCUACUACUGACGCUGAGGCACGAAAGCGUGGGGAGCAAACAGGAUCAGAUACCCUGGUAGUCCACGCCCUAAACG
rnacentral:rRNA from 1 species